AACAGUGCUUAGAAAAUAUUGUUUAUUAUGAAGAAACUUGUUCAUAAUACUUCUACUCCCCUAAUGCUAGGAUGAUAGGCAUAUGCUGCCAUAUUCAGCCAGAAAAUGCUUUCUAACCUGAGAACAAUACUAUCCUACUGAAUUAAAUGUAUUCACAGUUCUGGUCAGUUUCUAGUCCACGAGAGCUAAAUUCCUCAUUCACCAGCCAUUUUGAAAAGAAAGCCAGACAGAUACUGAUUUUGAAAGAGUAUAAGAACUAGAAAGAAAACUAAAAGAUUAAAUGUGGUCUAAUAAUAACCAGGGGCUGGUCAGAUGACUCUGUUGUUACCAAACUUGACAACCUGAGUUUGAUUCAUGCAACUCUAUUGGUGGAAAGAGAGAAGCAACCCCUGCAAAUGGACCUGUGACUAUGGUGUAUAUACGUGUGUAUAUACAUGCACACCCCAACACAAUCUGACACACAUGCACACACACAUGCAUUACUGUAAAUAAGUUGGAAAAUGUAAUUCAUAAAUUUUACUAAAUCUUGUCAAUUUCCUCCUGGCAUCAGCCCUCCCACUGGCCUCUGUGAUCUCACCCUGUAAAUGCUCUCAUCUGUUCAUCAGAUGGUCCAUACAGAGAUGCAUAUCUGUAACCUGUGGAUGGCCACUCCUCAGUUUCACACCUUCAGGACUCGCCCAUACCCAUGGAAUAAAGUCCCAUCUCUUCUCUGCAGUCCCCACAUCCUGGCUGAACCCCAAUCUCUCUCCACGGAUAUGAGGUCCAGGCUCACCUGCCUUGUAAUAUAUCUCAAAAAACACCAAAGCUUUCUGCCACCUCGGGGACUUUGGUAAACUGCUCUUCCUACCCAUGCUAUCCCUAUCCCUGCUUUUGAAGACCUUCCUCACCUCAGGCCUUAGCCUAGAUGAACUCUUCUUCAAGGGGGAUCCUGUGACCACUGUACUUAAAAUGUCCCACCUUAGAACUUGUUUGAUCUUCUUGGAGCAUUUACAGGCAAUGAUUUCACACUCCUCUGAAGUAUACCCAUUUGACUCUUUUAUAAUAUUUUGCCUCCAAACCAUACAUCCUCCAAAUGCUUUACUAAACUUUUACUUCUUUGUAGUUGUCGAUACUCUUUCUCCCCUCUCAUAUGAAUUUAUACUUCAUGAGAAUGUGGGCUGCAUCUGGUGGAAUAUCAUCCCAUCAUUAAGUGCUUAUCUGUUUCCACUGAUGCCUGAGACAAACCCCACUGAUUAUUCAGACCUUGAAGACUUCUCAAAGCCAUCAUCCUAGGGCUGCCCAACACUAGUGACUCUUUCAGAGUUCCAGGUCUGGGUUGGACUGGUCAGCACCACCCCUCAGUCCGCAGGCUUGCAGAAUCCAGGGGCUCACAUGGCAUGUUUCAGCAUCAUUUCUCUUCACUCCCUGUGGAGCUCACAAUGGAGACAGCCAACAACAGGACUACUACUCUUAAUUACCUAGAAGUUAAAAUGUGCUAUUUAAUCUAUUAAUCUAUUGAAAAUAUUUCUGAAUUCAAUAAAUCUCUUUUAUUUAACCUAUAAA